AGUUCUUACCAAAUUAGAAAUAAAAAACAAAGAUGAAGACUAUUUUACUCUUGUUUUCUCUUGCAUUCCUAAUUCCUUUGUCUGCCUUGGCAACUUGCACCACUGAUAUUACUGAUACAAACCAAGUAUUACCAGUUAUACGUGAUACAGAGGGUAAUCCCCUCUUGACAGGCAAGAGGUACUUUAUACUUUCAGCUCUUUCUGGAGCUGGUGGUGGUGUACUGCUUGCUAAUAUAGGAGAUCAAGAAGAAAAAACUUGUCCCACAGCUGUGGUGAAAUCCCACAAUGACCUUGACAAUGGUAUUCUUCAAUUAUGGAGUAUUUUUUAUUUCUCAGUUUAUGUGUUUUCUUUUAGCCUGUUUAAAAAAAUUAAAAAAAAAGUUAAAAUUUUCAUUCUAUUCUAAUUUGUCCCUGACUGCUUUGAUUUGUUUUUCUUUAAGCCGAGGUCUAUCAGAAACAGUUUCUCUAUCGCUCGUGGUAGGGGUAAAGUCUACGUGCAUUCUACCAUUCUCAGACCCCACUUUGUGGGAUUACACUGAAUAUGAUGUUGUUGUUGUUGUAUUCUAUUCUUGAUGAGAUAAUUAAUAGUGCUUUUUCAAAGAAUGUUUUGAGAGAGUAGCAAUUUGUGUUUGGCUAAGUCAUUUGAGAAGUGUUUUUGUUGAUAGUUUGUUAUUUGACCAAUAGUUUUACAAAAGUGCUUUUAAGUUGUAAAGAAAAGGUUGUUACAGGUACAUAUUAAUUUGGUAAAGAUUGAUUUUUGAUAUGUGUAAUUUUAUCCUUAAAAUAUCAAAUGCAUUUAUUUUUAGAAGAAGCUAUUUUUUCCAGCUCAUGCUUAAAAGCUAAAAACUAGCUUCUACUAUUACUUAAAAACACUUAUUUUAUUAAUCAAAAUCUUACCAAAACACAUUUAUUUUAUAAAAUAAGUAUUUUUGUUAAACAAGUAAAAAGGGUAUUUUUGCCUUCAAAAGCUUGGUCAAACAGGCUAUAAGACUUGUUUUGGAUCACAAAUUUUAAAAGAAUUCUCUUUCUUUCUUCAACUUUAUCCCCAGUUAAACGAUGUCACAAAAAUUACGUCGGAAAAUAUAUUAAAUUGUGCAAUAUAUAACACUAAAAGAAAAGUAAUUUUUAGCGACCACUUCUAACGAAGAGAUAGCAACCCAAAAAAAUUUCGAUCUUUAAAUCAAUUCUUAAUUUAAGAUAACGAGGAGAUAAAAUCCGGUUUUAAUAGUAUAAUAUCCGGUCGUUAAAACUAAAAUAAUAACGAAAAGGGCGCCAUGUUCUCUCUGUUGUGAUUUUCCCCAACCCACCAUUCGCCAUGGGCACCCAAAACAUAAGGGUUCUUAGAAUUACAUGUUUUCCAAUUAUAUAAUUACUUCCAAUGAUCAGUUUGCAGGAGUAGACCCUUAUUGUUGUUCGCUCUUUUUGACGGGACAAACUGUGAAAAGAGUAGAUGGAAGGAGUAUUAGUCAAUUGACACUUUUAUUACUUUAAACUUGUUGGGUUACCACAGAAGACGUUCUUGCUCGCAGUUGUUGCUCUUGUUCUGGCGUAUCAUAUUCUCUUGCUAGGGGUGCUUAUGGCGGGUACCAGAUGCUUUAGGUGUAUGAUAUAUUUUUUAUGGUGUAUCAUUGAUGUUCUUGGUUAGGAUAAAUUUCCUGUCUUUUAUCAACUUUUUUCUUUUCGCAGAGUUUUUUCCCUUGUUUCACGUGUUGUGAACUGUAAGCUUUCCUACUAUCCUCUGUUCGGUUGGUCUCGUGUAACUUUAGAGUAAAGACAUGAAAUUUAAAUAUUGUUUGUUUACUCUUUUUCUUUAAAUUACUUGCUGUAUAUAUAAUGUAAAUGACCAUUUCAAGAUACUGAGGUGGUUGUAAGGGUAUUAUCAGGAAAAAAGACUCUGAUGAGCUUCACAAAUUGAAUUAUACCAUCCCUGAAAGAGCAAAAGAAAAAUAAGCUCGACUUGCGAAGCCUUACAUCUUUAUCUACUAUAUUUUGGCCACGUGCUACCUGGAACAACUUUAAAAAAAUGACUCGUUUGGAUGCAAAAAAUGACCUGCUAGGAUCUGUUCACUGAAAAGAAAUACUAAAAAUAAUCAGUCUGAAAUAUUCAUGUUGAUUUGGAGAGUUUUUAUGUGUGUUUUUUAGCUUUUCCUAGGAGAUGGAGUUUUAAGAAAUCACACUACAUGGGUCAGAAGGAACAAAUUCAGAUGGAAUUGCUUUCAACAUAAACACUGGUAUAUUGGCGAAAAAAGAUCAAGAAUCGAAAGUCUGAAGAACUUAUCCUUGAGGAAAGUGUAGCGCAAGUUGAAGAAUACGGGAAUGUAUUUUCUGUUUUAUUAGGAUUUAAAAAGGAAAAAGAUGUUUUCAUUUGUACAUGCUAUAGGUGUUUUUUUCUCUUUUUUUCGGAAGUGACAAAUGUGAUGUCAUACAAUUUGGAUGGAUAUGUAUGACUUUUGUAAUGUGAUGUUUUAAUUCCUUGUAAUUAUUUGUGAAAGGUAUAUGAAUAAUGAUUAUUCAAUGAGAUCAGGGUCAAAAACAUACUCCAACUAUCAUUUUUUUUUU